CAUGCCUAUAUGGCACCGUAAAGGUGUGCUAUUCUCCCUUGGGUAGGGCAACGAGCAUGAUCCGGCGUGUAUUGCCUCGUUGUGCUUUGCUUCGCUCGGUACGCCGGCUUUUUCUUCAGUUUCGGUGUAGGCGUGGGCGGGAUAUUUUGUGCGGUGUGGCUCGGGGCCUCGUGGGGUAAGAGGUGCACCGGUAGGCGCCAUUCGGCCUGGGGCUCGCACACUGUGUUGUGUGUCCACUGUCCUCGGCCGGGUGAGGGAGGAGAGGCACGGUUCUUUGGGUGUGGGUGUGGGCAGGAGGAGAGGUUUUAGGGGGUUGGUGGUCGGAGGAGGAGGAGGAGGGUCUAGGCGGAGUGGCGGGGCGGGGGUCUAGGGGGUGCGUCCGCUCGCUUGCGCGCGCGUCCGGGUCUAGGCGGCGGGGCGGCCUCGUCGGUACCGGUUCCUCCGGCCGCCGCUCCCCCGGUACAGCCUCAGCCACGAGGCGUUCCACGAGCAGAGGAUGACGAUGCAGCGCCACACCUAGAAGGAGAGGAAGUGGCAGUAGCAGAUGUUGUUCAUGUAGGAGCUGGGGUUCUACAUGUUGACCGGGAAGGGGUAGAGCGAGUGGUACCACGUGUACCGGAAGACGAGGAGCGAGCGGCAGCGCGAGCAGGCGCAGAAGGCCCAGCAGCUGGAGGGGAGGAGCGGGCGGUACUGGUGUGUCGAGAUGUGGUCGAGGCAGGAGGGGUAGCCGCGCGAGAUGAGCGAGAGGGAGACCAAGAGGUUGAGGCGGAUGUAGAUGGAGAGGCAGAGGAAGUAGGUCUACGAGUUCCGCGAGUACGGGCAGCGGCAGAUGAGGUAUCCCCACGAGAAGUUCUUCCUCUGGAAGGCGAGGAGACGGUACGAGUUGUACGAGAGGUAGAGGAAGCCGCAGCGGUAGCGGCGGAUGCCGCUCCGGGCGAAGCUGGAGGCGCCGCAGCGCGAGGUCGAGCGGCGGCAGCGGAAGCUCCGGUGGUCCGAGCAGGAGUAGGUCUAGGAGGAGUGGAGGUUCCCCUAGAGCGAGUUGGGGUAGUGGAGCGAGAUGAUGCAGCGCGGGACGACGGAGCCGAAGGAGAAGGACGGGACCCAGAAGCAGCUCGACGGGUCCGACGCGCGGCACCCGUACAAGCUCGGACUGAAGAAGCAGAAGCCGUGGUUGAGGGAGACGCGUAAGCGCGAGUUGGACCGGCAGAAGGACGAGCACCCGUUCUGCAGCCGCGAGUGGUACUUGCAGCGGCCGCAACAGUUCCUGACCGACGAGUAGCGGAAGAGGACCAGGCACUAGGCCCUGUGCCACUGGGGCUAGUUGGAGAAGCCGAUGCCCUAGCGGAAGGACCCGCACCCGAUGAUGUUGGUGCACUUCGACGUCCGCGAGUUCCGGUUCCUCCGCGUCUUCUUCCACCGCGUCCGCCUGCUCCUUCGGCCGAGCGACGACGUCCUCGCGCUGAGAGUGCCGCUCGCGUUCUGGCUCUGGGUCAGUAUCUCGACGAGUAGACUAGGCUAGGCUAGGUUGUUGUGGUUGUCGUGCGGGUUAAACCAACCAAGAGAGUCAGGCCGCAUCGUCCAAGGGGUUUUACACUAGGAAUGUACAAACUACUACGCUUUAGACAAGUAAAGAACGGAAUUAAACACCAUCCUUCCGUUUAUUUAUGUCCUUUGUACUGUAAAAACACGGCCCGCACACUUUUAUGCUAUCAAGAAUCGUCUGUCACGAUGAUGGUCAUAGUUUUUUUAACAUAAGCCAACAGAUAACAUAGUAGUAGUAGAAACAUAAUCAUGGUUCGUAACGUAGCUCAUUUAACCACGGCAUCUCUACACCGCUAGCUCGUUGUCGAUCAUUAUUUUCUAAGUCAAGUUAAAAGCUUU
rnacentral:rRNA from 1 species